AAAAUUGCUUGCCUUUGGUAUUGUUGAUUUGACAUCUUUAGAGCAACUGCCACGUGGUACAACUCUUUUGAAAGUUUGAAAACUAUGGAUUCCAAACAAUGUCAUGAGAUAAUUAUAUCACCUUGUAUGUACUGCUAGUUUAAGUCGAGACACAAGCCUUUGAUCACAAGUCCAAGUCUUUAAAUAUUUAUAUGGAGUCCUCAUAUUUCUGUUGAGAUUAUUUCAAAAUUAUAAUAUACAUUGUGCAGUAUUUAUUUAAGAUCUGUUUUUCAAAUUGGAGUAUGUAUUACAUUUAUUGUCAACAUCUACCAUUAAAUAAUUCUGAUUAACUGUUUGGAAACAGCA
rnacentral:lncRNA from 1 species